GUAAAAUUGCCUUUGAUACUGUUGGUCUUGAGUUAUAGUGAAGUUGCCGGAAUAUGUAGUGUAGCGGUGAAAUGCAUAGAUAUUACAUAGAACACCGAUUGCGAAGGCAGGUGACUAACUAUAUACUGACGCUGAUGGACGAAAGCGUGGGGAGCGAACAGGAUUAGAUACCCUGGUAGUCCACGCCGUAAACGAUGGAUACUAGCUGUCCGGAACCUUGAGUUCUGGGCGGCCAAGCGAAAGUGAUAAGUAUCCCACCUGGGGAGUACGUUCGCAAGAAUGAAACUCAAAGGAAUUGACGGGGGCCCGCACAAGCGGUGGAGCAUGUGGUUUAAUUCGAUGAUACGCGAGGAACCUUACCAGGGCUUAAAUGCAUAUUGACAGGUCUAGAGAUAGAUUUUCCUUCGGGCAAUUUGCAAGGUGCUGCAUGGUUGUCGUCAGCUCGUGCCGUGAGGUGUCAGGUUAAGUCCUAUAACGAGCGCAACCCCUACCGUUAGUUGCCAGCAUGUCAUGAUGGGGACUCUAACGGGACUGCCGGUGCAAACCGUGAGGAAGGUGGGGAUGACGUCAAAUCAUCACGGCCCUUACGUCCUGGGCCACACACGUGCUACAAUGGCAGGUACAGAGAGCAGCCAUGUCGCAAGGCAGAGCGAAUCUAUAAAACCUGUCACAGUUCGGAUCGGGGUCUGCAACUCGACCCCGUGAAGCUGGAAUCGCUAGUAAUCGGAUAUCAGCCAUGAUCCGGUGAAUACGUUCCCGGGCCUUGUACACACCGCCCGUCAAGCCAUGGAAGCCGGGAGUGCCUGAAGUCCGUCAC
rnacentral:rRNA from 1 species